rnacentral:rRNA from 1 species
AGUGAACGCUGGCGGCGUGCCUAAUACAUGCAAGUCGAACGGAGUGGCGCACGGGUGAGUAAUGUAUAGCUAAUCCGCUCUAUACUAGAGGACAACAGUUGGAAACGGCUGCUAAUACUCUAUAGUGUAGGAUGAGGCUAUAUUGUAUCAGCUAGUUGGUGAGGUAAUGGCUCACCAAGUAUAUGACGCAUAACUGGUCUGAGAGGAUGAUCAGUCACACUGGAACUGAGACACGGUCCGGACUCCUACGGGAGGCAGCAGUAGGGAAUAUUGCCCAAUGGGGGAAACCCUGAAGCAGCAUCGCCGCGUGGAGGAUGACACUUUUCGGAGCGUAAACUCCUUUUGUUAGGGAAGCGGUACCUAACGAAUAAGCACCGGCUAACUCCGUGCCAGCAGCCGCGGUAAUUC